GUCAUUUCUGGGGAGUGUCGCUCAAUCGUUGCCACCUUCAUUCAGCCCUUCUGUGUGGAUGAAUAAGGCCCUCUCGUUGUCAAGUACUUUCAUAAGGGUCGAAGAGAGUGAAGGUAAUUCUUUCGCUCAUUGUCGUUACCUGCAUCCUAAGCACCUUCUAUAUACGUGCCGGCAAUCGCGGUGAUACAGCCGGUGCAAUCGUUAAUCGUAUUUACUCUAUGUAAAGCGCACCCAGGCAGUUUGUUAAGUCAGACGUGAAAUCCCCGGGCUCAACAAGGGAACAGCAUUGGAAACUGGCAAGCCUGAGGGGGUAGAGGGGGGUAGAACUGCAGGCGUAGCGGUUAAAUGCGUAGAGAUCUGGAGGAAUUCCGGUGGUGAAGGCGGCCCCCUGGACGAACACUGACGCUCAGGUGCGAAAGUAUGGGGAGCAAACAGGAUUAGAUACCCUGGUAGUCCACGCCGUAAACGAUGUCGACUUGGAGGUUGUGCCCCGAGGCGUGGCUUCCGGAGUUAACGCGUUAAUUCGACCGCCUGGGGAGUACGGCCGCAAGGUUAAAACUCAAAUGAAUUGACGG
rnacentral:rRNA from 1 species